rfam:Streptomyces sp. CB02056 scaffold13, whole genome shotgun sequence.
GGCCGUGUGCCCGAGUGGCUUAGGGAACCGUCUGCAAAGCGGUACACGCGGGUUCGAUCCCCGCCAUGGCCU